GAAGACACUUAUGAGGGAUUCUGUCAUCUCUGUCCAGCUGAGAAGUCUUCUGAUCACCUGCCAGUGACCUUGUCAAUGAACCCUGUGAGCUGUGGAAGAUAUAUCUCAGGGGUUUCGAGAAGACCUGUGAUCUCCUCCAAGCACUUGAGAAUCUGAGAGAUGCAAGAGGCACUGUGAGAGAGAUGAGACCAAAGUGAAAUAAUCCACUCAUGGUGAGUGGAAUUCAUCCUCGUUGCUGAAGUUGCAGUAGAGCUCUGCUGCCUGGGUGAUUGCACGAGGGAUUUAGAGAUCAGGAUCCAAACCAAGCCUCAGCAUCUCAGUUCCUUUCUUCGGUGUUCUGUGGUUGUCUUUGUAAGCUUGAGUCACUAGUGAAAACUCUCCUAUCAAGUACUCCUGGACACACCGGAGCUCUUUUGCUCUUUUAUCUACCUUGAGGGUCAAUGUGAAAGAUCUGUUUCAUUCAGCUUUAGCAUAAAGAAGAGUGAGAGCACACAAUUAUACAAAAAAUUGCCAUCACACACUUCACCAUCCUGAGCACAUGAGCACUGGGAUUUUUUCCUUUCCUCUUAGGUACUGCUUUUACUGCCUGUGACAGUCUGAGUAACUUUGGGAACAGCUGGAAAGUCCUGCAGAGAACUGAUGUGGAGAUGUCAUGUACUUCCAGCUCCUGUGGGCUGCAGUCAGAGUUGUCCCUGCUCAGUGCCAGGGACAAGGCUGCAUCAGGAACAGGAAUGGAUGGACCCCACUAUGCCUAGCUUAAGGAAUGCCCCCACAAAAGAAAAAAAAGACAAGUUAGUCAGCCAGUAAAACACUGCAUGAUUCUGGUAUAAAAUUAGCAGUGAUAUUUAGGGAACACAUUGCAGAGUGGAAAGCAGACUGGAAAAUAUAUUUGAUCAUGCAUAAGAUGAAAUAGGACAAAAAUAUUUUUUCUUUCUUGUUAGAGACACUUAGACAAAUAUCUUUUCCCCUCUUUAAUUUCUUCUGCUCCUAAGAGAAACAAUCCACCAAACCCUUGAAAACUUGCUAGCAGCUUAGGCUAACAAUGACACAGUCAGAGGCAGGGUUUUUUUCCAGAAGGCCCUGAGUCCAUGCAGUGCAGAGGAUAAUAGUGAAUCAAGGCAAGAAAGAAUAUACAUUUUGCCUGAAAGUGCUGUGGUUCAUUUGUUAGUCUGGUCAUGCUAGAUAUCCUGUAAUGCAGGUAUGAGCCUUACUGGCAGCUUCAACACCUUGUCUGCACUUGCUGCUUGAUUGAUCUGUAAAACUCCUCUUGGCUUCCAGGAGUUGGAAAAAAUCAUAGAACAAGGACCUGCAAUUGAAGCUUGCAGCAUGAUACACAGGCAGGAGGAAGGAUAAAUGGAUGUUGCACAGAAGUAUCAUAAAUCUCUUGUUUUCUAAUUUCUACAAUUUUUUUUGUUAACAUUUUUGUAAUGCUUUAACACCACUAAGGGAAUGGCAGAGAAGGGGAGAAAUGAUCGAUUAAGAGUAUCCAAAAGUUUGGAAAGGUCAUUUAGGAAAACUUUUACAAACAGAGUUUAACAUCAUUGGGAGAAGGUUGAGGAUCAGCAGUUGACAGCAUUUUUUUUUUGAGGGCGUGAAAGUUAAUAAACACUGCUCAUGUAGCAAUA